CACGUAGGAGGCGAGCGUUAUCCGGAUUUACUGGGCGUAAAGCGCGUGCCGGCGGAUUGGUAAGUUGGAUGUGAAAGCUCCUGGCUUAACUGGGAGAGGUCGUUCAAUACUGCCAGACUUGAGAGUGGUAGAGGGAGGUGGAAUUCCGGGUGUAGUGGUGAAAUGCGUAGAUAUCCGGAGGAACACCAGUGGCGAAAGCGGCCUCCUGGACCAUUUCUGACGCUCAGACGCGAAAGCUAGGGUAGCAAACAGG
rnacentral:rRNA from 1 species